GUGGGUAUAGCUUAGUUGGUUAAAGCGCCAGAUUGUGGCUCUGGAGAUCGAGAGUUCGAAUCUCUUUAUCCACCCCA
rnacentral:tRNA from 1 species